rnacentral:rRNA from 1 species
UACGUAGGGUGCGAGCGUUAAUCGGAAUUACUGGGCGUAAAGCGUGCGCAGGCGGUUUUGUAAGUCAGAUGUGAAAUCCCCGGGCUCAACCUGGGAACUGCAUUUGUGACUGCAUUGCUGGAGUGCGGCAGGAGGGGGAUGGAAUUCCGCGUGUAGCAGUGAAAUGCGUAGAUAUGCGGAGGAACACCGAUGGCGAAGGCCAAGUCCCCUGGGCCUGCACUGGCGCUCAUGCACGGAAAGCGUGGGGAGCAAACAC